ACGAACGCUGGCGGCGUGCUUAACACAUGCCAGUCGAACGGAAAGGCCCUGCUUUUGUGGGGUGCUCGAGUGGCGAACGGGUGAGUAACACGCGAGUAACCUGCCCUUGACUUUGGGAUAACUUCAGGAAACUGGGGCUAAUACCGGAUAGGAGCUCCUGCUGCAUGGUGGGGGUUGGAAAGUUUCGGCGGUUGGGGAUGGACUCGCGGCUUAUCAGCUUGUUGGUGGGGUAGUGGCUUACCAAGGCUUUGACGGGUAGCCGGCCUGAGAGGGUGACCGGCCACAUUGGGACUGAGAUACGGCCCAGACUCCUACGGGAGGCAGCAGUGGGGAAUAUUGCACAAUGGGCGGAAGCCUGAUGCAGCAACGCCGCGUGCGGGAUGACGGCCUUCGGGUUGUAAACCGCUUUCGCCUGUGACGAAGCGUGAGUGACGGUAAUGGGUAAAGAAGCACCGGCUAACUACGUG
rnacentral:rRNA from 1 species